rnacentral:misc_RNA from 1 species
UUAACUAUUAUAUAGUACUCAGACAUCACUAAACAAACGAGUUUGGGUCCUCUGGCAGGCGCGGUCAGCGUCAGCCGACGCCCGAAGGCGGCCUGCCAAAGCAACAAAGGUAUGUAUACACGGUUUGGGAAUAGAACCCAUUUCGAAAAACGGGGCAUUCUUUAAUGAUCCUUCCGCAGGUUCACCUACGGAAA